rnacentral:misc_RNA from 1 species
CUCCAAACUUCAGAAGAAAAGAGAUGCCCUCGCGGCCAAGCAACCGCGCAGCGAGGCUCAAACCAGGGUGUGUCGCCUAUUAAGCAAGAGAAAGAACACCUUCAAGCCCUCAAGCAAGAAAUCCAACACCUGCAUGCCCAAGACUCAACACACCCUUCACAUGGCCAUAUGAGAAUGAGCAGUUUUGACGAAGUUAGGCAGACCCCACAAAGCGACACCUUUAAGGCUUUCAAUUUCACCGACAAUAUAUGUCCACUCUUCGCUAGACUGCAGGCAACAACGUGGCCAAAAACUACAAGGCUGAUUACUGGCCAAGAUGUAACGAGAAAGCCUAAUAGACAAUAAGCGCAACAACUAACACUACAUCUCCCAACCCUUUUAAACACCCAUCCACCCAACCUAGGAGGUCAACCAUCGGUCGUCCCGCCCACCAGUCCAUGUG